UACGUAGGGUGCGAGCGUUGUCCGGAAUUAUUGGGCGUAAAGGGCUCGUAGGCGGUUUGUCGCGUCGGGAGUGAAAUCCACUGGCUUAACUGGUGGCUUGCUUUCGAUACGGGCAGACUGGAGGUAUGCAGGGGAGAACGGAAUUCCUGGUGUAGCGGUGAAAUGCGCAGAUAUCAGGAGGAACACCGGUGGCGAAGGCGGAUCUCUGGGCCUUACCUGACGCUCAGGCGCGAAAGCUAGGGGAGCGAACUGG
rnacentral:rRNA from 1 species